CCUACGGGUGGCUGCAGUCGAGAAUCUUCCGCAAUGGGCGAAAGCCUGACGGAGCGACACCGCGUGCAGGAUGAAGGCCUUCGGGUUGUAAACUGCUGUCAGGUUCUAGGCUAAGACCAAAGGAAGCAACGGCUAACUCUGUGCCAGCAGCCGCGGUAAGACAGAGGUUGCAAACGUUGUUCGGAAUUACUGGGCAUAAAGCGCACGUAGGCGGUCCGUUAAGUCAUGUGUGAAAUCCCCCGGCUCAACCGGGGAAUUGCGCCUGAUACUGGCGGGCUAGAGGUCGAUAGGGGUGAGCGGAACUCCAGGUGGAGCGGUGAAAUGCGUAGAUAUCUGGAGGAACACCGGUGGCGAAAGCGGCUCACUGGAUCGAACUGACGCUGAGGUGCGAAAGCUAGGGUAGCAAACGGGAUUAGAUACCCUUGUAGUC
rnacentral:rRNA from 1 species